CAAGUCGAACGAAGGCUUCGGCCUUAGUGGCGCACGGGUGCGUAACGCGUGGGAAUCUGCCCUCAGGUACGGAAUAACUCAGGGAAACUUGAGCUAAUACCGUAUAAUGACUUCGGUCCAAAGAUUUAUCGCCUGGGGAUGAGCCCGCGUCGGAUUAGCUAGUUGGUAGGGUAAAAGCCUACCAAGGCGACGAUCCGUAGCUGGUCUGAGAGGAUGAUCAGCCACACUGGGACUGAGACACGGCCCAGACUCCUACGGGAGGCAGCAGUGGGGAAUAUUGGACAAUGGGCGCAAGCCUGAUCCAGCAAUGCCGCGUGAGUGAUGAAGGCCUUAGGGUUGUAAAGCUCUUUUACCCGGGAUGAUAAUGACAGUACCGGGAGAAUAAGCCCCGGCUAACUCCGUGCCAGCAGCCGCGGUAAUACGGAGGGGGCUAGCGUUGUUCGGAAUUACUGGGCGUAAAGCGCACGUAGCGGCUUUGUAAGUUAGAGGUGAAAGCCCAGGGCUUAACCCUGGAAUUGCCUUUAAGACUGCAUCGCUAGAAUCGUGGAGAGGUGAGUGGAAUUCCGAGUGUAAGGUGAAAUUCUAGAUAUUCGGAAGAACACCAGUGGCGAAGGCGACUCACUGGAGACGUAUUGACGCUGAGGUGCGAAAGCGUGGGGAGCAAACAAGAUUAGAUACCCUGGUAGUCCACGCUGUAAACGAUGAUGACUAGCUGUCGGGGCGCUUA
rnacentral:rRNA from 1 species